GAAAUAUAAAUAAAUUAAGCUUCUAACUUAAUAAUAGUGAAUAAACCCAUUAAUAUUUCU
rnacentral:tRNA from 1 species